rnacentral:lncRNA from 1 species
UGUCACCUCAUCUAAUAUAGAUCAUCAAGAUAGGUUGAAAGGGGAGUUCGUAGUCAUCUCUUCUAAUCAGGAGAUCCCUGAAAGCCGAACAUUUAAAUGUUCUCUUCUUGAAAUAAAAAUACCAUAGUUUUAGUUAGGAAUGUGCUAUGUUGAAAAUAACAGAAAAACUGACCUCUGUGGCUUAAACAAGUAAGGAUUUAUUUUCCUUCCGUAGCUGGAGGAAGGGAGGUGCAGCUUUGGCUCAGCUCUUAACAGUGCAACAUCUAGUGCCUCUAUAGUUCUCUUGGACACAGAUGGCUGCUUUCGAAGAAGAAAGAAGUGGAAAGUGAUGGAGUUUCUAUGCUCCAGCUCUCUUUGCCUGCUGCCAUCCACGUAAGAUGUGACUUGCUCCUCUUUGCCUUCUGCCAUAAUUGUGAGCCCCCCUCAGCCAUGUGGAAUGAUGGAAAACAGAACAAGCCAUGGAGGCCCCAGGGAUCAGGCAGGGCCAAGAGGAUCUGAUGGCGGAAGGGGGAGCACAUCAACAAGACCUUACAAGGCAACUUGCAUGGAUGCUCUGAAGCAACUUUGAGGUCUCCUUGAUGAGGAAAGUUGGCUCAACCUGCUGUAGAGUAGGCCCACAGCCAAGCCAUUGAGAGACAAGUCCAUGGGAGACAAAUUAGCUCAUGCAGCUGAGAUGUCCUGGAGAUUUUCCACAGCACCACUUGGCCAGUGCCUAGACAAGGCUUCCGAGGCGAUCCGGCAACAUCAGUCUUCAGCCGCUAAGCCAAGAAGAUCUGGGAAGGAGUCAAUCAGAGAGCCUUGGGCCAGAGUUCCAGGGGCUGUGGAAGUGGCUGCCAGGUGAGUUGAACAGUCCGAUUUUCAGUGGGGUCCUACACAGAUGGGACACAGCUUAGGAGGAAUCCUGGGCUGUGGGCAUUCCUUGGCCUAGUGGCCAGAUUUCUGGCACUUGUAGCAAGCUCCUGGGGGAGGAGGUUCUGGAGGAACCCCUGGCAGCUGCGGUUUGGGCGUUUGGAGUUCUUGUGUGCUGGAGAUGUGGCUGGGGUUUGUCUCACAGUGGAGGCAAGAAAUUGCAACUCAGAAAUACAUUGCUACUUGGCUGCCUCUACUCUAUUAUUGUAUAACUUGAAGGUGAGGUUAAUUAAGUCCUGUUGUGAGGUUUGAGGGCCGGAAUUUAAUUUUUGGAGUUUUAUUUAAUGUCAGGAGCGGAUUGGGUAAUAAAAUGUAUAUUGAGAAUAAGACGGCCUUUUGACAUUUUAGGGUCUUGGGCUGUAAAGCGUCUCAGGGUUGCUGCCGAACGAGCCAUGAACUGGGCUGGGUUUUUCAUAUUUGAUGAAAGAGCCUAAAUGCUAACUGAUUUGGGAGAGGUCGGAUAAAGAAAAAGAAGCAUUAACCUUGACUAUGCCUUUAGCUCCAGCCUCCUUUUUAAGAGGAAAUUGCUGGUCAGGUGGAGGAGGGCUAGUCGCGUCGCGGAACGAAACUAUAAGCCGGACUGGGUGUGAGGAGGGGAGGUGAUAAAAGGAUUAUAGGGUGGGGGAGCAGAGGCUGAGGAAGAAUUGGGACCUGGCUUGACCUGGCUUGGCCUGGCGAGGAGCAGCCUGGGGAGGAGGAGAGAGGUCAGAUGGGUCUGUAGAAAAGGAAGAUUAGAAAGACUCAGCGACGCUUGGGGUUGGGACUGAGAGGACAGGCGGGAGGGAAAGAAGGAGGAUUUGGGAUGAGUCACAUUGGGAACAGAGAGUACGGAGAGAACAAUGUGUAAAAGAAUGCCUGGACGUCAGGCACCUCAGACCAUUUGCCCAUUUUACGACAAGAAUUAUCGAGAUCUUGUGGGAUGGAAAAAUCGAAAGUGCCGUUCUGUGGCUAUUUUAGAGCCUUUGUCAAGUUUGUAUUGGGGCCAAGCGGUGUUGCAGAAUAAAAUAAGAUGCUUAGAUUUUAGGUCAGGCGAGAGUUGAAGAGGUUUUAAGUUCUUAAGAACACAGGCUAAGAGAGAAGAAGGAGGAAUGGAGGGUGGAAGGUUGCCCAUAGUGAAGGAGGCAAGUUUAAAGAGAAGGGUAGAGACACGGAGAAGGGGGUGGGGAGCAGCCCUGGGCUGCAACGUGGGUGAGCAGCCAAAGCAGGCGUCCUUGCAAUUGACUUGCCACCAAGGGAACAUGGGCGAAUGAUCAAGGAAGGCACCCCUGCGGAGAUCAGACACCAGUGGAACGUGGGUGAAUAAUCCAAGAGGCAUCUCGGCGAUGAUUAAACACCAAGGUAAGGCUGUCUUCCCGAGUCCGUGACCGGCGCCGGAGUUUUGGGUCCACAGAUAAAAUGUGUCUCCUUUGUCUCUACCCGAAAAUGAAAGGAACUGAAAUUAACAGAAGGGAGAGAUUGAAGUGUGGCGCCAAGCUUGAAAGGAGAAAGAGGUUGAGGGAUAGUGAGGGAGGUUGGAGAAGAGAGUAAAAAGAGGCCGCUUACUGGAUUUGAAAUUGGUGAGAUGUUCCUUGGGCUGGUCAGUCUGAGGACCUGAGGUUGUAGGUGGAUCUUUCUCAUGGAGCAAAGAGUAGGACAGGGGAUUGAUCUCCCAAGGGAGGUCCCCUGAUCCCAGUCACGGCACCAAAUUUCACUCGCGUCCGUGUGAAGAGACCACCAAACAGGAUUUGUGUGAGCAACAAGGCUGUUUAUUUCACCUGGAUGCAGGCGGGCUGAGUCUGAAAAGAGAGUCAGUGAAGGGAGAUAGGGGUGGUGCCGUUUUAUAGGAUUUGGGUAGGUAAAGGAAAAUUAGUCAAAGGGGGUUGUUCUCUGGCUGGCAGGAGUGGGAGGUCACAAGGUGCUCAGUAGGGGAGCUUUUGAGCCAGGAUGAGCCAGGAGAAGGAAUUUCACAAGAUAAUGUCAUCAGUUAAGGCAGGAACAG